UUGGAUGUUCGGGGCCGCACGCGCGCUACACUGAAGGAAUCAACGUGUGCUUUCCCUGUCCGGUAGGACUGGGUAACCCGUUGAAACUCCUUCGUGAUAGGGAUAGGGGCUUGUAAUUAUUCCCCUUGAACGAGGAAUUUCUAGUAAGUGCGAGUCAUCAGCUCGCGUUGAUUGCGUCCCUGCCCUUUGCACACACCGCCCGUCGCUAGUACUGAUUGGAUUAUUUAGUGAGGUCCUCGGACUGGUACUCGGUACGGCCCUUGGGCCGGGUCGACGUGCCGGAAAGAUGACCAAACUUGAUUAUCUAGAAGAACUAAAAGUCGUAACAAGGUUUUC
rnacentral:rRNA from 1 species